UAUGAAUAAUACGUGGCGAACGGCUCAGUAACACGUAGUCAACAUGCCCAGAGGACGUGGAUAACCUCGGGAAACUGAGGAUAAACCGCGAUAGGUCAUAAUUACUGGAAUGUGUUAUGGCCCAAAUCUACAUGACCUCUGGAUUGGACUGCGGCCGAUCAGGCUGUUGGUGAGGUAAUGGCCCACCAAACCUGUUACCGGUACGGGCUCUGAGAGGAGGAGCCCGGAGAUGGGCACUGAGACAAGGGCCCAGGCCCUAUGGGGCGCAGCAGGCGCGAAACCUCUGCAAUAGGCGAAAGCUUGACAGGGUUACUCUGAGUGAUUCCCGCUAAGGGAAUCUUUUGGCAUCUCUAAAAAUGGUGCAGAAUAAGGGGUGGGCAAGUCUGGUGUCAGCCGCCGCGGUAAUACCAGCACCCCGAGUGGUCGGGACGAUUAUUGGGCCUAAAGCAUCCGUAGCCGGUCUUGCAAGUCCUCCGUUAAAUCCAGCUGCUUAACAGAUGGGCUGCGGAGGAUACUACAAGGCUAGGAGGCGGGAGAGGCAAGCGGUACUCAGUGGGUAGGGGUAAAAUCCUCUGAUCCAUUGAAGACCACCAGUGGCGAAGGCGGCUUGCCAGAACGCGCUCGACGGUGAGGGAUGAAAGCUGGGGGAGCAAACCGGAUUAGAUACCCGGGUAGUCCCAGCUGUAAACGAUGCAGACUCGGUGAUGGGCCGGCUUUAUGCCAGCUCAGUGCCGCAGGGAAGCCGUUAAGUCUGCCGCCUGGGGAGUACGGUCGCAAGACUGAAACUUAAAGGAAUUGGCGGGGGAG
rnacentral:rRNA from 1 species